AGCCUUAUAGCUCAUCAGCAUGAUGAUUGGGUGUUCAGGUUCUCAUGUGAGAUGUGCCUCCCUCAAACCUUGUGAUAACAUUGACAUGUUACCUGACUGAUG
rfam:Myotis brandtii contig304587, whole genome shotgun sequence.